ACAUUUACCAGAGUUAGCUCAAUGUACCAGUUCCCCGUUCCUUCACUUCUGGGGCAUAUGGAAUAUAUUGUGGUCUGAGGGAAAUAUAUCUUAAGAAUUUCUUCUGUGUCUCUUCAGGAGCAUUCCAGGGUGGAUUACAGCAGAUCAGGGUUGCUGGAAGUCUUCCUCUACACCAUGAGUCUUGCAGUGUUGCAAAUGAUCUUGAAUUUGUGCCUUGGGUGUGCUGACAUCUCAAGUUCACUGACUUCAAGAAUUUACUGUGGAUAUUUUUUGUCUGCUGGCACAGAGUUUUGUGCAGAUAGCAGUGAAGAUGCAAUGACUUCUCUGUUGAACAUUAGGCGUGACAACCAUUUGAUGCUGCUGCAACAUGACAUGCCAUGGAGAAGCAUUGAUACCUGGUGAUGAAUAAGGAACUCUGGUGGUCCCACCCACGAUAAAGCAUUGGGAACAUGUGCAGAAUGGGGAUGCAAUAAAAUGAUCCAAUCCUGGGCAAAACUCCAGCUGAAGCUGCUGCUUUAUGGGACAGCAGAUGUUGCAGCCAUGAGACACAGGCACAGGAAGCUGGCUGCAGCAGCUAAGGAACACCUUCGUGUUUUUCUUGCACUGUUCAUAAGCUUCAAAAAUUUGUCUUAUGUCCUCAGCCCCCCCCAGAUGGCAGCCAGAGUGUGCGGUAAUCCCAGGGAAUUACCUUUUGGAGUAAUCCUCUUACUUUAACAACAAGCACUGGUGAUCUCCAGCGAGGAGCACAUGAUUGGAAGUACGCGUAAUGCAGAGACAUUCCAGAACACAUACUUUCUGGAGGGCGGGUUGCUAGCUUUUUUAGCAACAUCAAUCAAUGCAGUGGCCAAAAUGACACGUUCACAUCAAGACCUACAAAAUAUGGAAAAGUUUAAAUUAUCCUUGGAAGCAAUCCAGGAGUUGGUCACUCAGCCUGCAUGAAUAGCACGGUAACACAGCUCCAUAAUAGAAGCGGCGAGAUCUGGCCAGUUGGUUUUCCAGUCUGAUUUUCCCAUUCCAAAUGGGGGGGAAGUGGCAGAACUGCUUUGUCUCCUGGCUGGAGGAGCUUGGCUGUGAGGACCUCAGCUUUCAGGAACAGGCAGCAAUGUGAGUUUUCUCCACCCAGGGUUCCUCUUGGCUUCAAUCUCCUUUUUAUUCUCCACUACUUACCCCUCUAUUAUAUAACCAGGGAGCUGAUUGCUUUCUGCUGCAAGAGAUUUUCCCCUCCCUCUUUUGGAGACCUGAUUGCUGUGCAGUAGCAACCUUGGAGAUCCAGUGAACCCAUGCAUUUUUCUUCUCCAGCCCUCUUGCACCCACACUCGUAUCUGAAGUUUUCCUUUCUUGAGGCAAUAGGACAGAGGAAGAGUUCCGAGUGGGAGCAGCCAGUGGAGAGCAGGACUGAGGGAUAACUAUAGUGAGAGCUGCUCACAUCUCCAGAGGAAAACAGUCGGAGCUUUCUUGCUUCUGUUUUCCCCAGCAACAACCUUAAACAGAAUCCCCUUUGCCACAGCUAAAAGGAUGAUGAAGAAAUAGAUACAGGAGGUUCUGUUUCCCAACCAACUUAGGAGUGGAAUGACUCUGGGAAGGAAGGGAAAAGAUGGAUGGGAGCAGAAAGCACAGCCCAAGGGUGGGUUCCUGUGCAAUGGGCAGCCUUUGGCACAACAAAUCCUUGGCAUCCAGACAUCUUCAGGCUGACAUGUGCGUGUGUUGCACUGAUGACACCAAACACCAAGACACACACAUGCCUUCCACCGAUGCAGCGUGUUAAUGCAUCUUCCUCCUUGAUGCUAGGAAAACAGUGAAGCAAUUAAAUACCAAUAUGCAUUUGCUGACCUGCCAUUCAACCUGGAGAAGUCAAGCACCUUCCACUUGUUUUUUUAUGUGGUUUUAAAUGUUUCUUAGAAGUAUCUGUUUACUACAGCUCAAUAAAGUUUUAUUUUG
ensembl:lncRNA